UACAGAGGUCCCAAGCGUUGUUCGGAUUCACUGGGCGUAAAGGGUGCGUAGGCGGUCGGGUAAGUCUGAUGUAAAAUCUCACAGCUUAACUGUGAAACUGCAUUGGAUACUAUUCGGCUUGAGAGUUGGAGGGGGGACUGGAAUUCUUGGUGUAGCAGUGAAAUGCGUAGAUAUCAAGAGGAACACCAGUGGCGAAGGCGAGUCCCUGGACAACUUCUGACGCUGAGGCACGAAAGCUAGGGGAGCAAACAGG
rnacentral:rRNA from 1 species